rnacentral:rRNA from 1 species
ACGCUCGACACCUACGGUAGGCAGCAGUGGGGAAUAUUGCACAAUGGGGGAAACCCUGAUGCAGCGACGCCGCGUGAGCGAAGAAGUAUUUCGGUAUGUAAAGCUCUAUCAGCAGGAAAGAAGAAAGACGGUACCUGACUAAGAAGCCCCGGCUAACUACGUGCCAGCAGCCGCGGUAAUCUGAGCGGGCUGGCAAGGC